rnacentral:sRNA from 1 species
ACACGGGAAGGAGGUGGUCCAGAGGAUGAAUGACUUUGGGACAUGUGAGGUGUCGGCCAGCUAGCCGCACGCGCUGACUGUGUGUUCUGGUCCCCUGCGGCCGGCUAAUCCACAGCCAACACCCGAACCCGCGAGCGCCGGAGUUGUUCACCGGCCGACGACGUCGACAUCGAGCGGCGCGCCGAAGUGCUCGCGGGUUCGUCCAU